CGUGGUGUGAACUGUCUGCUUAAUUGCGAUAACGAGCGAGACUCCAACUGUUAAAUAGUAAAAGGUUUCUUUUGACCUUCAUACUUCUUAGUAGGAUUCGCGACUUCAAGUCGCAAGAAAUGGAGCAAUAACAGGUCUGUGAUGCCCUUAGAUGUUCGGGGCAGCACGCGUGCUACAAUGGUGGUAACAGCGUGAUUGUCCUCGCCCGACAGGGCUUGGCAAACAGUUGAGAUAUUAUUAUGGCUGGAAUUGAGUGUUGAAAUUUUCUCUCAUGAACGAGGAAUUCCAAGUAAAUGCGAGUCAUCAACUCGCAUUGAAUACGUCCCUGCCCUUUGUAC
rnacentral:rRNA from 1 species